rnacentral:rRNA from 1 species
UAAAAAGCUCGUAGUUGGAUCUGUGUGUCGGACGGUCGGUUCGCCGCUCGCGGCGUCUAACUGACCGGUCCGCGCGUCCUGCCGGUGGGCGCGCUCUCCCCUGCGGCGGCCCCCGUGGUGUUUCCCUUUCGGGGGUCUCCGCCUCGGGUGCGUCGACGCGGGGGGUGCCGCCCGUUAACCUUCCCUCCGUGCUGCUCUUAACCGGGUGGCGCGGUGGGCCGGCACGUUUACUUUGAACAAAUUUGAGUGCUCAAAGCAGGCCUCGAGUCGCCUGAAAACUGUGUGCAUGGAAUAAUGGAAUAGGGCCUCUUUUCUAUUUUGUUGGCUUUUCUGAAACUGAGGUAAUGAUUAAUAGGGACAGACGGGGGCAUUCGUAUUGCGACGUUAGAGGUGAAAUUCUUGGAUCGUCGCAAGACGGACGGAUGCGAAAGCGUUUGCCAAGAAUGUUUUCGCUAAUCAAGAACGAAAGUUAGAGGUUCGAAGGCGAUCAGAUACCGCCCUAGUUCUAACCAUAAACGAUGCCAGCCAGCGAUGCGCCGACGUUCCUCCGAUGACUCGGCGCGCAGCUUCCGGGAAACCAAAGCUUUUGGGUUCCGGGG